rnacentral:rRNA from 1 species
UACGUAGGGCGCAAGCGUUGUCCGGAAUUAUUGGGCGUAAAGAGCUUGUAGGCGGUUUGUCGCGUCUGCCGUGAAAAUCCGGGGCUCAACCCCGGACUUGCGGUGGGUACGGGCAGACUAGAGUGUGGUAGGGGAGACUGGAAUUCCUGGUGUAGCGGUGAAAUGCGCAGAUAUCGGGAAGAACACCCGUGGCGAAGGCGGCUCUCUGGGACGGUACUGACGCUGAGACGCGAAAGCGUGGGGAGCAAACAGG